UCCUACGGGAGGCAGCAGCAAGGAAUUUUGUGCAAUGGGCGAAAGCCUGACACAGCAACGCCGCGUGAGGGAUGAAGGCCUUCGGGUUGUAAACCUCUUUUCUUAGGGAAGAAUAAUGACGGUACCUGAGGAAUAAGCCUUGGCUAACUACGUGCCAGCAGCCGCGGUAAUACGUAGGAGGCGAGCGUUAUCCGGAUUUACUGGGCGUAAAGAGGGCGUAGGCGGCUUUUCAAGUCGGGUGUGAAAUCUCCCUGCUUAACGGGGAGGGGUCAUUCGAUACUGUUAAGCUAGAGGGCAGUAGGGGAAGGUGGAAUUCCCGGUGUAGUGGUGAAAUGCGUAGAUAUCGGGAGGAACACCAGUGGCGAAGGCGGCCUUCUGGGCUGUUUCUGACGCUGAGGCCCGAAAGCGUGGGGAGCGAACAGGAUUAGAUACCCCAGUAGUCCAAGCCG
rnacentral:rRNA from 1 species